UGAGGAAUAUUGGACAAUGGGUGGAAGCCUGAUCCAGCCAUCCCGCGUGAAGGAUGACGGUCCUAUGGAUUGUAAACUCCUUUUGUACAGGGAUAAACCUGCCCUCGUGAGGGCAGCUGAAGGUACUGUACGAAUAAGCACCGGCUAACUCCGUGCCAGCAGCCGCGGUAAUACGGAGGGUGCGAGCGUUAUCCGGAUUUAUUGGGUUUAAAGAGUCCGUAGGCGGGCCUGUAAGUCAGUGGUGAAAUCUCAUAGCUUAACUAUGAAACUGCCAUUGAUACUGCAGGCCUUGAGUAAAUUUGAAGUGGCUGGAAUAAGUAGUGUAGCGGUGAAAUGCAUAGAUAUUACUUAGAACACCGAUUGCGAAGGCAGGUCACUAAGAUUUAACUGACGCUGAUGGACGAAAGCGUGGGGAGCGAACA
rnacentral:rRNA from 1 species